rnacentral:lncRNA from 1 species
AUUUGUAGAACUUAUACAGACGGGAAGAAUAAGAAGUGAACGGCGCCAGUUUGGCUGCUAUGUGACUUUUUAUUUAUUGUUGUCGCUGGUUAAUGGAAUUCUUGACCAAAGAGAAUGCCUUGAUAGCUCAAGUGAUUAGAGAACCAAAAGAAGAAAGGAGGAACUACGAGGAGUUUCGACUAUUUUAUUACAAUGAAUUACGAGGUAUUAGCAUGUUUCUUUUACCUUAUGAUAAUUAUUUUUGGGAACAGUUGGUCAUGGCUGACAUUUUAUACUUGUGAGGCCUUAGGAAUAGAAAUAUAAUUUAAUAAAGAAAACCUUGCCCUUUAAUUAUGAAAAAAAACUUCUCAAGAUGGCAUUCCUGGAAUUCAAUUUCAGAACUUUGUAUAUGAAAUUAGUUUCUGACCUUUGCACACAUAUGUUGAAUUUGUACGAUAAAAUAUGAGCUUUACAACUCUAACUAUAGAUAUCUGUGUAUUGAUGAAUUAGAGUGAUGGGUUAUGAUUUCUAUCUUUUUAAUAAUUGUGCAAUGAUUGAACACAUGAAGAGUAAUGGUUGAUGAGAUUUCAAAAUUAGGUGCAAGGUUGGAAUGAGAAUCCGUCCAUAACGUGCAUCUAAGACCUAUUUGGACGUCUGUUUCGUACUGUAUGGUUAUUGAAGUUUAAAUUGUGAUAUUAGGAUAGUUUUAUCCUUUAAGUUUAUGACCUAGGUGUAAAAUGUCGAGACUUAGCUUUGAGCUGCAAUUAAGAAAAUUAUGAAAUGAUCCCAACUAAUACAGUUGACAUUGUUUAUCAGUAUUUUGUAUAGAUUGAGGUUAUUGGAUGUCAUUUGGCUGAUGUUCUAGAUGUUGCAAGGUUGAGGAAAUUAUCAUUAAUGAGGUAAGUGAGACUUUAAGCUUUAAUACUUGCUUUCCUAAAACCCAUUUUAAAAAUGUGUUUUCUCUGUCUGGUCCAUGUGUUGGGACAAGCGUGCGCUUGGAAGAGUCAGUGGUCUUAGACUAGCCGCAAAUAUAUUAUUUUAUGGAAAAAAAAUAUUAUUUUAUAAGUUGUUUGAUAGUGUGAUACGGCUGUGCGCCAUGAUAAUUAAGUUUGAUACGGCUGUGCGCCAUGAUAUUAAGUUUGAUACGGCUGUCCGCCAUGAUGUUGAGUUUGAUACGGUUGUGCGCCAUUAUGUUGAGUUUCAUACGGCCGUGCGCCAUGAUGAUGAGUUUCAUACGGCUGUGCGCCAUGAUGUUGGGGCAUUGUGUAUACCUUUGUACAUCACCCCAAGCAUUGUGUAUGCUCUGUUACAUAUUUGAGGCAUUGUGGUGCCAUUGUGGACUCGUAAGUGCGUUGGUAAAUUUUUUUCGCUGCCAUUAUGAUAAGUCCUUAGUGGGUAUUCUUGUUGGUUAAUUCUUAAUAACUCUAUUGAUACACAUAUUGAGUUAUUGUAUAAUUAUCAUAUUUACUAUAUUAUUCGUGUUGCAGUGUGUUUGUAUUUUCACACACUUGUUCCAGAGGUAUUUAAAGUGACGGGUCGAGGAUCUUACUGGGUUAUAUUUACAUAUAACUCACUCCUUAACUGCAUCUCUAUACAGAUACCGUUGCGGGAGAUAGAGCUAGUGGCUGAAGAGUUUGUUCGAGUGGAUCCUAUUGCUGAGGUGAGCCAGCGCAUUGUUCGUGGAGGCUUUCGUUUCAGACUUACCUCGUGUUAGUUUUUUUUUUCUCUUUGGGGUUUGCAAACCCGUCAAUAAACCUCAUAUUACUCUGUUAGAUGCUCCAUGGUCUUAGUGUGGGAUUUCGGCUAGAGUUUUAUUAAUUGAGUGAUUGUUGGUUUUUCUAUCAAUUGACUAAGGUAUUGGCGAUAAUUGUUUCCUCUUUAAUUAUUAAUAAUACUAUUAGGUCUGUA